rnacentral:lncRNA from 1 species
UACUUCCUCUCUCUUUCUCUCUCUUUCUAGUUAGAUCAAGAUAACGGUGGCUUGUGUCAUCCCUGAUUCUCUUACAGUAGGGACUGGGCUCAGAAUGUGACUUGAUUAGGCUGAUCUGCACUUGGAAAGCAGGUCUUGUCUGUAUAUGCCUUGCUCUGAACGAAGUUCCCUUAAGGACAAAGGGAAGCGCACUGUGCUUCGUUUGAGCUUCUCUGCCUGGGCUUGGUAUCUGCUCAUUCUAAAACACGCUCCUUCACCAGUCCCUGAGACUCUCGGAAACGAGCUCCUUUUUAAUCACACUCCUAUGAGUAAAGCACCCCAGAAUUUCUCUAUGAGUUCCCAAUGAAACCUGUACAGGUUUUUAAAUUUUAAAUCCAAUUUAAGCCAAGAGGAGGAAGGAACUCAGGGGAAGAAGCCCCUUCAGAAACUCCUCCAGAGAAUAAACCGUGUUUGUCUUUUCCCAUAAAACUGCUAUUUGUUGAUUUUGUUUGGCUGUGGGAGGGGGUGAGAGGAGAUCACCUUUUAUCAUCAGGUGAUUUAUUUCCUCCUGACGGGAUUCAGGUGAAGGAAGCCCAUCUGUUCUGGAGAGCUGUGUAUGCCUUUAACUAGCCUCCGUCCCAUUGCUUGAACAGUCAUUACUGGCUUAGCUACGGUUGCUGCCUCAGUCAUCAUGCUGCAUAUUCCUGCUUUCCCGUAUGUUCAUACUGAGUGUGACACCGGAUCUCUGCUCUCGGGUGCAUGCUUCGUACUCUGCCUCAGCUUAUGCCUUGAUUUUUGUCCAUUUCAAAAUACGCGCAACAAAAAAUGUUCAUUCUGAUUUUAACUCAGUUCAGCAGAGAGGUUGUCAUUGACCUUUCCCCCCUCUUUCCCUCUUUUUUAUCCGUAAAGGUCUUUUUACAUAUGAAUGUAAUCACGUCCAUGACACCAAUGCUGUAAACUCUGCACUGCAGUUUACUCUAAGGAGUGAAAAAGCCCUACUGUGUUUUAAAAGAAUCCCCUCUCUUAGUCCAGUCCUGGAGUGGAUGCACGUGCUGCACGCUCUCUCACUCGCACAGUUUUUAUGUAUUGUGUUGGGUUAUCGUUCUAGACUGGACUGUUAAAUGCUGUCUGUGAGGCUGGACUGUCAUUUUUAUAACUGUCUUCGUAUUUUAUCGCCAUUAUUUAUUACUUUUGAUAUACAGAAUGAGCCGCAUGCAUUUAUAGAGCAAUAAGAAGAUGUAUUUAAUGUGCCUUGUUUUUAACUGAGUAAGAGCUGAAAGCAUGAAUCAAUAAAACUGAUUAAAGUGGUC